rnacentral:rRNA from 1 species
GUGUCAGCAGCCGCGGUAAUACGUAGGCAGCAAGCGUUGUUCGGAAUUACUGGGCGUAAAGAGUGUGUAGGCGGUGCUCUAAGUUUGGUGUGAAAUCUCCCGGCUCAACCGGGAGGCUGCAUCGAAUACUGGAAUGCUAGAGGAUUGGAGAGGUAAGCGGAAUUCCUGGUGUAGCGGUGAAAUGCGUAGAUAUCAGGAGGAACACCUGUGGUGUAGACAGCUUACUGGACAAUUUCUGACGCUGAGACACGAAAGCGUGGGGAGCAAACAGGAUUAGAUACCCUGGUAGUCCACGCCCUAAACGAUGCAUACUUGGUGUGGGCCAUUCAUUUGGUCUGUGCCGGAGCUAACGCGUUAAGUAUGCCGCCUGGGGAGUACGGUCGCAAGGCUGAAACUCAAAUGAAUUGACGGGG